rnacentral:rRNA from 1 species
UACGGAGGGAGCUAGCGUUGUUCGGAAUUACUGGGCGUAAAGCGCACGUAGGCGGCUAUUCAAGUCAGAGGUGAAAGCCCAGGGCUCAACCUUGGAACUGCCUUUGAAACUAGAUAGCUAGAAUCCUGGAGAGGCGAGUGGAAUUCCGAGUGUAGAGGUGAAAUUCGUAGAUAUUGGGAAGAACACCGGUGGCGAAGGCGGCGCUCUGGACCGAGACUGACGCUGAGGCGCGAAAGCGUGGGGAGCAAACAGG